rnacentral:rRNA from 1 species
GAUGAACGCUGGCGGCGUGCCUAAUACAUGCAAGUCGAGCGAACAGACGAGGAGCUUGCUCCUCUGACGUUAGCGGCGGACGGGUGAGUAACACGUGGAUAACCUACUUAUAAUUCUGGGAUAACUUCGGGAAACCGGAGCCACUACCGGCUAAUAUAUUCUACCGCAUGGAUCAAUAGUUAAAGACGGUUUUGCUGUCACUUAUAGCUGGUUCCGCGCUGCAUUAGCUAGUUGGUAAGGUAACGGCGUACCAAGGCGACGAUGCGUAGCCGACCUGAGAGGAUGAUCGGCCACACUGGAACUGAGACACGGUCCAGACUCCUACGGGAGGCAGCAGUAGGGAAUCUUCGGCAAUGGGCGAAAGCCUGACGGAGCAAUGCCGCGUGAGUGAUGAAGGUCUUCGGAUCGUAAAACUCUGUUAUUAGGGAAGAACAGAUGUGUGAGUAACUAUGCACGUCUUGACGGUACCUAAACAGAAAGCCACGGCUAACUACGUG